rnacentral:rRNA from 1 species
UGAACGCUUGGCGGCAGGCCUAACACAUGCAAGUCGAGCGGUAGCACAGAGAGCUUUGCUCUCGGGUUGACGAGCGGCGGACGGGUGAGUAAUGUCUGGGAAACUGCCUGAUGGAGGGGGAAUAACUACUGGAAACGGUAGCUAAUACCGCAUAACGUCGCAAGACCAAAGUGGGGGACCUUCGGGCCUCAUGCCAUCAGAUGUGCCCAGAUGGGAUUAGCUAGUAGGUGGGGUAACGGCUCACCUAGGCGACGAUCCCUAGCUGGUCUGAGAGGAUGACCAGCCACACUGGAACUGAGACACGGUCCAGACUCCUACGGGAGGCAGCAGUGGGGAAUAUUGCACAAUGGGCGCAAGCCUGAUGCAGCCAUGCCGCGUGUGUGAAGAAGGCCUUCGGGUUGUAAACACUUUCAGCGGGGAGGAAGGCGGUGAGGUUAAUAACCUCAUCGAUUGACGUUACCCGCAGAAGAAACACCGGCUAACUCCGUGCCAGCAGCCGCGGUAAUACGGAGGGUGCAAGCGUUAAUCGGAAUUACUGGGCGUAAAGCGCACGCAGGCGGUCUGUCAAGUCGGAUGUGAAAUCCCCGGGCUUAACCUGGGAACUGCAUUCGAAACUGGCAGGCUAGAGUCUUGUAGAGGGGGGUAGAAUUCCAGGUGUAGCGGUGAAAUGCGUAGAGAUCUGGAGGAAUACCGGUGGCGAAGGCGGCCCCCUGGACAAAGACUGACGCUCAGGUGCGAAAGCGUGGGGAGCAAACAGGAUUAGAUACCCUGGUAGUCCACGCCGUAAACGAUGUCGAUUUGGAGGUUGUGCCCUUGAGGCGUGGCUUCCGGAGCUAACGCGUUAAAUCGACCGCCUGGGGAGUACGGCCGCAAGGUUAAAACUCAAAUGAAUUGACGGGGGCCCGCACAAGCGGUGGAGCAUGUGGUUUAAUUCGAUGCAACGCGAAGAACCUUACCUGGUCUUGACAUCCACAGAACUUUCCAGAGAUGGAUUGGUGCCUUCGGGAACUGUGAGACAGGUGCUGCAUGGCUGUCGUCAGCUCGUGUUGUGAAAUGUUGGGUUAAGUCCCGCAACGAGCGCAACCCUUAUCCUUUGUUGCCAGCGGUUAGGCCGGGAACUCAAAGGAGACUGCCAGUGAUAAACUGGAGGAAGGUGGGGAUGACGUCAAGUCAUCAUGGCCCUUACGACCAGGGCUACACACGUGCUACAAUGGCAUAUACAAAGAGAAGCGACCUCGCGAGAGCAAGCGGACCUCAUAAAGUAUGUCGUAGUCCGGAUUGGAGUCUGCAACUCGACUACACGAAGCUGGAAUCGCUAGUAAUCGCGGAUCAGAAAUGCCGCGGUGAAAUACGUUCCCGGGUCU